GUACAGGUUCCUGCUUCCACAUUACACUGCUACCGUUUAACAUCACUGACAUUGACGACACCACACUGGCACUGGACGACCCCGAAACGUGGCUCAAAUCAUUCGCGGGACUUGAAAUCAUUGCUGGGAUUAUAGUUGUGCUGGUUUAAUGGCGAACUCUGAGACGAGGACGUUUCAGAGUUGAUAACAAUCGGUUCAAUAGGAGAAGCAGGAACCUGUACGGGCACACAAAAUUGAUCGAGAAGGCACAUCACCAGUUUCUCCGCAUCGGACUGUACAAUUGGAGGGAAAUUCUGCGAUAAAGCCAGCAAAAAAGCCCUGGAAAUAGCCAAAU
rnacentral:misc_RNA from 1 species